AGGACGAACGCUGGCGGCGUGCCUAAUACAUGCAAGUCGUACGCUUCUUUUUCCACCGGAGCUUGCUCCACCGGAAAAAGAGGAGUGGCGAACGGGUGAGUAACACGUGGGUAACCUGCCCAUCAGAAGGGGAUAACACUUGGAAACAGGUGCUAAUACCGUAUAACAAUCGAAACCGCAUGGUUUUGAUUUGAAAGGCGCUUUCGGGUGUCGCUGAUGGAUGGACCCGCGGUGCAUUAGCUAGUUGGUGAGGUAACGGCUCACCAAGGCCACGAUGCAUAGCCGACCUGAGAGGGUGAUCGGCCACAUUGGGACUGAGACACGGCCCAAACUCCUACGGGAGGCAGCAGUAGGGAAUCUUCGGCAAUGGACGAAAGUCUGACCGAGCAACGCCGCGUGAGUGAAGAAGGUUUUCGGAUCGUAAAACUCUGUUGUUAGAGAAGAAUAAGGAUGAGAGUAACUGUUCAUCCCUUGACGGUAUCUAACCAGAAAGCCACGGCUAACUACGUGCCAGCAGCCGCGGUAAUACGUAGGUGGCAAGCGUUGUCCGGAUUUAUUGGGCGUAAAGCGAGCGCAGGCGGUUUCUUAAGUCUGAUGUGAAAGCCCCCGGCUCAACCGGGGAGGGUCAUUGGAAACUGGGAGACUUGAGUGCAGAAGAGGAGAGUGGAAUUCCAUGUGUAGCGGUGAAAUGCGUAGAUAUAUGGAGGAACACCAGUGGCGAAGGCGGCUCUCUGGUCUGUAACUGACGCUGAGGCUCGAAAGCGUGGGGAGCAAACAGGAUUAGAUACCCUGGUAGUCCACGCCGUAAACGAUGAGUGCUAAGUGUUGGAGGGUUUCCGCCCUUCAGUGCUGCAGCUAACGCAUAAGCACUCCGC
rnacentral:rRNA from 1 species